rnacentral:sRNA from 1 species
CAUACUCCUGUAAAAAUCGAUACAAGAAAACAGAUAAAGGCAAACAAAAAACAUAAAUUUCAAGCGCACCUUGCCGCAUACCUAGGUAUCUCCUCUUUGGGUUUUUGUGGUCAUCGCCUUCUCAAAACCACCCGUGUCUUGUUUUCGGAUCUCGGCGGAGAAAAAUCU